AAUUAUUACUUUGGCAGAUUAGUGCAAUAAAUUUAGAAUUUAUGAAUGUAAGUUUUUACAAGUAAUA
rnacentral:tRNA from 1 species